ensembl:snRNA U6 U6 spliceosomal RNA
GUGCUUGCUGCAGCAGCACAUAUACUAAAAUUGGAACGAUGCAGGGAUUAGCAUGGCCCCUGCACAAGGAUGGCAUGCAAAUUCAUGAAGAACUCAAUGUCAUU